AGUUUCAAGAACAAGUUUAUGAAGAGAAGGGGAAACCCCCCUUUCAGCUUAAGAGCUUCAAAAUCGCCCAUUACACUAGCUUUUAUAAGCUUUACACAUUGCAUACAUUAGAAACCUAAAUCUAAUGGAUAGAAACACUUGAAAGAAUGAAUGGCUAGGAUGGAGCUUGGGCUUGAUCUGAGUGAAGGUAUCUCAUUGGUUCAGCUCUCUUUAGUAUCUGAUUGGUUAAUUCAAACUGGUCAAGGCAAGGGCUGGCUUCUCAUUGGCUCCUUAUAGGCUCCCAUGAAU
rnacentral:lncRNA from 1 species